rnacentral:rRNA from 1 species
AACGAACGCUGGCGGCAUGCCUAACACAUGCAAGUCGAACGAGAACUUCGGGUCUAGUGGCGCACGGGUGCGUAACGCGUGGGAACCUGCCCUUAGGUUCGGAAUAACUCCCCGAAAGGGGUGCUAAUACCGGAUAAUGUCUUCGGACCAAAGAUUUAUCGCCUUUGGAUGGGCCCGCGUUGGAUUAGCUAGUUGGUAGGGUAAAAGCCUACCAAGGCGACGAUCCAUAGCUGGUCUGAGAGGAUGAUCAGCCACACUGGGACUGAGACACGGCCCAGACUCCUACGGGAGGCAGCAGAGGGGAAUAUUGGACAAUGGGCGAAAGCCUGAUCCAGCAAUGCCGGGUGAGUGAUGAAGGCCUUAGGGUUGUAAAGCUCUUUUACCCGGGAUGAUAAUGACAGUACCGGGAGAAUAAGCUCCGGCUAACUCCGUG